rnacentral:rRNA from 1 species
UUGCUAGUAAUCGUGGAUCAGCAUGCCACGGUGAAUACGUUCCCGGGCCUUGUACACACCGCCCGUCACACCAUGAGAGCCGGGAACACCCGAAGUCCGUAGUCUAACCUAUAUGGAGGACGCGGCCGAAGGUGGGUUUGGUAAUUGGGGUGAAGUCGUAACAAGGUACC